GUGUGGCAGGCAUUAAAACCCAGUGGAGGGGUGCCUGGGUGGCUCAGUCAGUUAAGCGUCCGAAUUCAGCUCAGGUUAUGAUCUUGUGGUUCACAAAUUCAAGCUCUGGGUUGGGCUCUGUACUGACAGCUCAGAGCCUGGAGUUGCUUUAGAUUCUGUGUCUCUGGCUCUCUCUGCCCCUCUGCCUCUCAUGCUCUGUCUCUCUGUCUGUCUGUCUCUCUCUCUCUCAAAGGUAAAUAAAUAAACAUUAGGGGAAAAAAAACCAGUGGAAAGACAAAUGACAAACAAAGGGAAAUAUUCGCAGCCCCUAUGGCAGAACAAAGACAAAUCUUCCUAAAAUAUAAAUAGCUCCUAGAAUUGUAUAAGGAAAAACACAAAAGCCUAGUAUAAAAAUGGACAAAGAAUAUACAGAGGCAGCUCACAGAAAAUGAAAUGCUAGCAAAACGGGAGUCUUAGCUCAGUUUCAACUUGCAAUAAGAAAAAUGCAAAUUAUGAGGACACUGAGAAACAAUUUUGUUUCUACCAGAUUAGAGAUAUGUAAAAGUUUUACCACAUACCGUGUUGAUGUGGGGAGAUACGCACUCUCUUAUAUUGCUGGUGGCAGUAUAAAUUCCCCCGAUAUGGAGGGAGCUUAAUAUAUAUAAUGAAUUACUGAUGUAUAUGCUUUUUUUAAAUUUUGCUUUUAAGAUUUAUUCAUUUUUCAGAGACAGACAAAGCAUGAAUGGGGAAGGGGUAGAGAGAGAGGGAGACACAGAAUCCAAAGCAGGCUCCAGGGUCUGAGCCAUCAGCACAGAGCCCGAAGCGGGGCUCGAAAUCACGGACCUCCAGAUCAUGACCUGAGCUGAAGUCGGAUGCUUAACCAACUGAGCCACCCAGACGCCCCUGAUGUAUAUACUUUUUAACUUAAUAUCCCACUUUUAGAAACGUAUCUUCUAGAAAUAUCUACAUUAUAUGAAACGCCAUGUGUGGUGUCAUUCAUUGUAGCAUUGGUUAUAAUAGUUGAAGAUUGGGAACAACUGUCAGGAAAGAACAGAUAAGUCAACGUCAAGACUUCACUACAUAGUGAGAUCCUAUGCCGCUAUAAAAAAAAUCAUACAGAAGCUCUCUGUGCACCAAUAGAAAAAUAUCUCCAAGGUAUCUAUUUUAAUUACUUUAAAAAAUAAACUAUUUUUUAAAGUUUAUUUUAUUAUUUAUCUUUGAGGGGGAGGGGCAUAGAGAGAGGGAGACAGAGGAUCUGGGCUCUGCGUUGACAGCAGCGAGCUUGAUGUGGGGCUCGAUUCACGAACAGUGAGAUCAUGACUUGAGCCGAAGUCGGACACUUAACUGACUGAGCCCCUCAGGCGCCCCACCUAUUUAUUUGAGAAUAGUUUUACAUUUACAGAGAAAUUGUGAAGAUAGUACAGACUAUUUCUGUAUCCCCCACACCCAAUUCCCCCUAUAAUUAGCAUCUGACCUUAGGAUAGUACGUUCGGUACAAUUAAGGAACUGAUAUUGAUACAUUAGUAUUAACUGAAACCCAUACUUUAUUCAGAUUUCCCUAGCUUUUACCCAGUGUCCCUUUUCUGUGCCAGGGUCCCAUCCAGGAGACCACAUGACACUUAGUUGUCUUUUUCUCCUUAGGUUCCUCCUCUGUGUCUCAGACUUUCCUUGUUUUGGUGACCUUGACAGUUUUGAGGAAUCCCGGGCAGGUGUUUUGCAAAAUGUCCCUCAGAUUUGGCGGCCGCGGCAGACCCCGAAGAAGACUGUGGAUAGGCGCGGUAGCUGCGAACCCCUUUUUGAGUUCACUGUCUUUCUCACCGUUUCCCAGGGCUGUGGAUACUUUUAUAGAACCUUCCUGUAAGCGAGUUUCAUCUUCAGAGAAAUUCAUGGAAAGGAGUCUGCCAAGUACCAUCGGACUCACGCAUUGCGAGAUCACGACCUGAGCCGAAAUCAAGAGUCACAUGCUCAACCGUCUGAGCCACACCGGAGCCCGUAGAAUACAGAUUUCUGGUAACUUUCAGAUCAUACAACUGGACUGGUGAGAACAAAGCCUGCUCUUGAAUCUCCUUGGAAGGGACUAUAGCAGGCCCUCCUCACUAGUCAGAUGGCAGCCAAACCACAGGGCCUUAAACCUUGGAUGUGCACCUUGGAGCUGGAGAAGGCUCCCCCCUGGCAUCUGGUCCUGUGCAAGUGCUGGAGACAUCCAAGAGGCCAGAUCGUGAGACCUCACACUUUAACUGAUACGAAACCCUUUCUUUUUUCUUUUUUUCACAAUGGCCCUGGCCUGGAAAGAUGACCCCCCUCAUUGGUGUGAAGGGGGAUAACCUUUGCCUUUCGGCCUGCUUGAUUCGUCAUCCCAAACUCCUAUCUGUCCACAUUCACAGCGCCACCUUAGUGGAAGUGGUUUGUGACCGGAUGGGGUUUGUCCCUUGUCUUUGGUGGUCAUCACUCUCCUUGGGUCUACAAAUGUCUAGAGAGCUGGUGCAAGGUAUGAUUUGAAGUGGGGUUCGGGAACUAACGGUCAAGAAAGAAUUCUUGAGAUGGUUUUGAUGCAAAAAAAAAAAAAAAAAAAUGUGGUUUUUAUUAAAGCCCAGAGACAGGAUCUGUGGGCAGAAAGAGCUGCACCAGGAUUGUGAGGAGUGACUCACAAUACAUUUUAAGUGGGGUUAAGUGGGGUUAAGUGGGGAGGGGCGGAAGAAACAAAGGAAGUUUCCAGAAGGAUUUUCUUUUUUCUUUUCUUUUCUAUUUUUUUUUUUAAAUUAAAUCUGCUCUUGCUUUAUUUUAUAUAUUUAGAGUAUAACACAAUGCCUGGUAUAUACUGUUGCAUUUUUUUUUCAAUAUAUGAAGUUUAUUGUCAAAUUGGUUUCCAUACAACACCCAGGGCUCAUCCCAAAAGGUGCCCUCCUCAAUACCCAUCACCCACCCUCCCCUCCCUCCCACCCCCCAUCAACCCUCAGUUUGUUCUCAGUUUUUAACAGUCUCUUAUGCUUUGGCUCUCUUCCACUCUAACCUCUUUUUUUUUUUCCCCUUCCCCUCCCCCAUGGGUUCCUGUUAAGUUUCUCAGGAUCCACAUAAGAGUGAAACCAUAUGGUAUCUGUCUUUCUCUGUAUGGCUUAUUUCACUUAGCAUCACACUCUCCAGUUCCAUCCAUGUUGCUACAAAGGGCCAUAUUUCAUUCUUUCUCAUUGCCACGUAGUACUCCAUUGUGUAUAUAAACCACAAUUUCUUUAUCCAUUCAUCAGUUGAUGGACAUUUAGGCUCUUUCCAUAAUUUGGCAAUUGUUGAGAGUGCUGCUAUAAACAUUGGGGUACAAGUGCCCGUAUGCAUCAGCACUCCUGUAUCCCUUGGGUAAAUUCCUAGCAGUGCUACUGCUGGGUCAUAGGGUAGAUCUAUUUUUAAUUUUUUGAGGAACCUCCACAUCCAGAAGGAUUUUCUUAUGUUAAAGAAGCCUCACAGGAUCCUGGAGGCCUAGCUAUUGUCGGCUAAGUCCGUUUUUCCCUCUAGCAAGGCAUUAGCGUUAAGACAGUGGUGGGGGGCGCCUGGUUGGCUCAGUGGGUGGAGAGGUGACAUUCCACUCGCCAUCUCGGGGUUGUGAGUUCAAACACCACAUUGGAUGUAGAGAUUACUUCAAAAUAAAAUCUUUUUAAAAAAUAUAACAAGAUAUUCCUGGAGGAAUGUCACACUCUGCCGGCCUCAAGUAUUUGUCAAUGGGCUGCAGGAUAUAAGGAAAUUGGAUUUUAUCUUCAUUUCCUUUGGUCUUUGUUCUCCCCAUCAGUGCCCAGCCGGGCAAUGCUUCUUAGGUUAUCUCACUGUGUCCCCAACUUGUCACAAGUGAAAUCAGACAUCUCACUGGUUGACUCCCCUGGAUUUACAUCAUUGAGUUAGUUAGAAAAGGCACCCUACCAGGGGUGCUUGGGUGGCUCAGUCAGUUGAGCGUCCAACUCUUUUUUUUUUUAAUGUUUUUAUUUAUGUAUUUAUGUAUUUUUUCUUUUUUUUAAUUCUAUUUUUUUCAAGUUUAUUUAUUUAUCUUGAGAGCAAGACCAUGGGAGAGGGGCAGAGAGAGGGAGAGAGAGAGAACUCCAAGUAGGCUCUGCACUGUCAGUGCAGAGCCUGAUGCAGGGCUCAAACUCACAAACUGCGAGAUCAUGACCUGAAUCGAAGUUGGACGCUCAACUGACUGAGCCACCCAGGUGCCCCUAUUUUUAUUUAUUUUUUGAGACAGAGAUAGAGAAGAGCAUGUGCAGGGGAAGGGCAGAGAGAGAGGGAGACACAGAAUCUGAAGCAGGCUCCAGGUUCCGAGCUGUCAGCCCAGAGCCCGACGCAGGGCUCGAACUUGUGAACCGCGAGAUCAUGACCUGGGCCGAAGUCAGACACCCAACUGACUGAGUCACAUAGGCAUCCUGUGCAUCUGACUCUUGAUUUCAGCUCAGAUCAUGAUCCCUGGAUCAUGGGAUGGAGCCCUGCGUCAGGUUCUGUGCUGAGUGCUGAGCGUAGACCCUGCUUGAGAUCCUCUCUCUCUCUUUCUCUCUCUUCCUCUGCCCCUUUCCCCCGCUCACUUUCUCUCUAAAACAAAAAAUUUAAAAGAAAGAAAGAAAGAAGGAAAGAAAGAGAAGGAAAGAAAGAAAGAAGGAGAGAGAAGGAAAGAAAGAAAAGAAAGAGACAAAGAAAGAAAGAAAGAAAAAGGAAGGAAAGGAAGAAAGAAAAAAAAGAAAGGAAGAAAGAAAAGACCUAUCAGGAGGGAUUCACAACUCAGGGUUUGCUUCCUUUAGCAGAGCCAUACUUACCUGGUUAGGAGGAAAUAUAGAUAAGAAUAUGAUCAGAAACCUCUCCUUAACUCUUAAAGAUAUUGUAGAAUCUGUCACUCAAACAAUAGCUGCCCAACAAAGAUCCUUAAACUCUGCAGUAAAGCUGUCCUUGAUAACAGGAUAGCCCCUGAUUAUCUUUUAGCUGAGCAAGGAGGUGUCUGUGCUGUGGCCAAUGCCAUCCGCUGUACCUGGAUUAACACUUCUGGGGAGGCUGAAACUCAGUUGCACGAGCUCGCUGCCCUAGCCACAGGGCUUAAAACAGUGACUCCUUCGGCAGAGUCUUACUUUGACUUAUUCGGUUUUGACUGGUUUGGGUCUUGGAGACCGUGGCUCUGAAGUGCGAGGCAGACAUUGGGGAUUAUCCUGUUUGUGCUCAUCACGAUAAUCUCCGUGGUGCCUUGUACUCUCUCAAAAGCUUUAAAUGCGAGUUCACAGCUAUACUUCACCAAGUGCACCAUCUCCCGAAGACUGGACCGUCAGAAAAAGAGCAAAGAGGACGAACUGACUUAAAAAUGGUGAACCUUGGGGCUCCUGGCAGGCGUGGUAUCCAUGCCAUGGAACAUGCAACUGUUGAUGUCAGGGUUGUGAGUUUGAACCCCAUGUUGGGUAUCAAGAUGACUAUUUUUAAAAAUUUUUUUCAAUGUUUAUUUAUUUUUGAGAGACAGAGAGAGAGCGUGAGUAGGGAAGGGGCAGAGAGAGAGACAGACACAGAAUCCAAAGCAGGCUCCAGGCUCUGAGCUGUCAGCACAGAGCCCGACGUGGGGCAUGAACCCCCCAACCGUGAGAUCAUGACCUGGGCUGAAGUUGGAUGUCCAACCGACUGAGCCACCCAGGUGCCCCUGGAGAUGACUUUAAAAAAAAAACCCGUGAACCUGAAGCUGUAACUUGUGACUACCUUAGUCACGGAAUGUCUUAAAUUUCGAUCACGUCUCUCAGUUAAGCUUAGAAUCGAAUCAAAAGGGAGAAAUGUCUAAAAAGAGGGGCACUGGGGUGGCUCAGUAGGUCGAGGAUCCGACUCUUGAUUUCAGCUUGGGUUAUGAUCCCAGGGUCGUGGGAUCGAGCCCCAAGCUGGGCUCCACGCUCAGCAUGGAACCUGCUUAAGAUUCUGUCAGUCAAUCUCUCUCUCUCUCUCUCUUUCUCUCUCUCUCUCUCCCUCUGCCCUUCUCCUCUGCUUGUGCACUCUUUCCCUUUCUUAAAAAAAAAAAAAAAAGAAAGAAAAGAGAAAAAAAAGAAAUUGCUAAAAAGAAAAGAAAAUCCCCAGGCCCCACAUGGAUCAUGGAGUCACUUAUGUCAAGGCCCCAUAUCAGGAAACCAAGACUUCAUACCUAACCUAACUGUAGUUUUAACCCUCCUAGGGAUGUGACCCUCAACCAGUCAACCUGGGAUUACCUGCAGCACUAGAACAUUUACGGAUAGACUCCUUCUGUUCCCCCUUAGGGAGGUGACCUUACCUAAAACAAUACACUCGUUGCUAAUAAUUUCCUUCCGCUACCCCACCCCCUGCCCUUACAAACCUGUUUCUACAGCUGGACGGAGCUUUUUUCUGUUCGCUAAGUGGGAUGCUGCCCGAUUCAUGAAUUGUUCAGUCAAGCCAAUUUGAUCUUUUCAGUUACUCAGAUAAAUUUUUAUUUCACAUCCCUAACCCACAGAUGAGAAAAAGGGGACUUCCGGAGAAGUAAAGUAACUUGCCCCGAAGCCACCCAGACAGAAGUUGGCGGCAUCUCGCGCCAGGGCAAGGAACAACAGGUGGGGUCAGCGUCUUGCCGGGCUUCCCAGAACCCAGUGGGACUGCCCAGGGCCUCUCAAAAGCUCAAAGGACCUGCUAGUUUUGGGGCUUCCCCAAACGAUCCCUGCCCUGCCCCCCAGGAACCUUAGAGAGCAGCUCUGUGGAAAAAAGGAGGCAGAAAGUGGUGUGGAGGAACUACUGGUCUUUAAGAGGUUCUUCAAGAGAGUGUGACUUUCUCUUAGACAAGACUUGCAGAGGGCAGGAGGAGGAAGAGGGAGGUGGCUGGCGGAAAUGAUUCCUGGGAAGAGAGGGGGCGGCAGAGGAGGGAGAGGGCGGCUUACUUAGUUUAGUCUUUGAGGCCACAAAGGAGACAGGCGGCAGGGCAGAUUGGAAAUCCGGCCCCCCACUAAGCAUAAGAGAGGGGUGGGUGGGUGUCGUGCAAAUGGAAGGAAGCCACCACGGACCACUGCUGUAGGAGGGAACUUGAAAUCAGCCACCAGCCGGAAAGACAGGACGAAAGGGCACACAGACACAAGAAGGAUCUGGACGCAUGUAAGGUGGACAGGUCCCUAAGCUAAAGGGAUUUGGAAGCUGCCUCUGUCCAAGAGGUUAAAGAGCUCACAUGCACAGGCCCGGGUGUCCAGCCCAGAGAGACCAGAGGGGAAGCCAGGGAAAGAUCUGGAAGGAUGGGCGAUGUGCAGCUGAGGGGCUGCUGCAGAUGGUCUGGACUUCUCGCUGCAGCAAGAGGCUGGAGACUGGGGGAGAGGGCACCUGGGGCAGAGACUCCAAGGUCAAGAACAGGUCAAGGGUCCCUUGAUCCUUCCUGUGAGGGCAGUGGCUCGGCAGUAGCAAGUGUCGAACGACACAAAUGAUUUGAAUCAGAGCACGUUUCACGCAGGAAGGAGCUCAUCUGUUGCCACAAUCUUCAGCCCUCCCCGCCUCGCACCCAGGAGGGUCACUUCAUUUCUAUGACCGGCUGGCUCACGUGGGUGCCAGAUUUUUGGCCUUUGAGACACCUGCAAUGCCACCUUUGGAGACCCCAGGUUGGGGAGGGGACGAGAGAGGAGGCUGGCGUCCCAAGGGCCCCUAACUUUGCCCAAUGCCCUCUCCUCAGAUGCUGCUCCUUGGUACCACGUCUGUACGGGUCCUCGGGGAGGGACUGUUGUGCCUUUAGCGUCUCUGGUACUGCCCAUAAAUGUCAACAGCGCCCUCUAGUUUUUGUAACAGUCACACAUGCCUCCCUGGAAGUAGGGGUGAGAUCACUCUAACUGAGAGCUCCUGGAGCCCCUCUUUGGUGCUGGGGAAGUGACUUCCACCCCUGCCAGAAUUUUCUCGGCAUAGAAGCACGGAGACACAGAAGCCAGUGGCAAUGGCUGUUUAUUAUAACAAUGCCCCCAAGUGAGGGAGAGAAGGGAGGGCCCAAGCCUGGAGAGGUAGGCAGCGGGUAUGUGUGAGCAGGAAAGUGUGGAGAGCCUCCACAGCCACUGGGGAAGUGGCACUUACUCUUCAGUAGAAUAUACUCAGAGAGGGAGAGAGACUGGGGGAAAUCCAGCCACCAGAAGCUGGCUGGGGAAAAAGAGAAACACUUUGGGCUGGGGGGGGGGGGUGGGCAAUGGACGGCCUGGUGCUGGAGUAAGGGGCCCAGGUGCCACUACCUGGAGCCCGUUCCAUUGGCAGGGAAUGCGGAGCCGAGAGCAGUAAGGAGUGCCCUGCCCCUGAGCCCGGAGCCCUGCAGUGGUGGUGGUGGGCGCCGGGCUCUUGGGGCUCCCCUAUCCCCACAUGGUUGUCUGCAGCCACUGUGGGGAGGAGAGAAGCAGAUCCAAGGACGGCAGGGAGGGUGGGGCAGGAUGGCUGGGGGAGCAGAGGGCAAGGGGAGCCGUGAGUACCUGGUUCAGAUUCAAGCGAAUAUAGCCAGUGUUCUUGGGGUCCAUGGAUAGAAAGUAUGCUGUUUGGGAGAGGAGGCAAGGGAAGGGGUUUGAGAGCCGAGUCUGGGGUCUGCAAGACCCAAUCCCAAAGAAGCAGGAGGUCAGAAAGGGCAUCAGAAGCUGUCCCUUGCUGCCUCCAGGCUAACCCUCAGCCCAGGAAGGAAUUAAUGAUAAGAACUCCAAGCCUCGCCAUGAGCCACACACAGAGCGUCGCCAUGUGUGAAACUCAUAUGUUCUGUGGCUCCGUCCUAUGAGGGCAAUACUGUUACUGCCCACAUUUUAUAGAUGAGAACAGAGGACAGAGGCACAGAGAGAUAAAGCGACUUGCCCAAGGCACACAGCCAACAAGUGGUGGGGCUGGGAUUUGAACCCAGAUCGUCUGUGCCCUAAAGAGGGGGAUGGUUUGGGAGCAGGGCUCCUCAUGUGGGCGUGUGGGAGGCGGCCAGUGGUCCCCGACCCACGGUGGGGAGUGGGCAGAUGACUGACUCACUGAACAUGGCCUUGAGCCUCAGGAAGCAGCUGAUGAAGCUGUCAAAAUCCACGAUCAUGUUAUCGUUUGCAUACCUGGCCACCAGCACCUGCAUCACCUUGUUAUUCAGCUUGAUGCCUGGGAGAGAGAGGAGUGCGGAGGGGGAGUCCAGCCCCCUGGCCACCGCGUCCUCCCUCGCUGCCCCCAGACCCUCUCCCCUGACCCCCUGCUAACCUGCUUUCUCAAUUGCCAAGCGCAUCUCAUAGGAGUUCAAGCUGCCUGAGUUGUCCUCGUCACACUCUCGGAAGAUGUCCUGAAGGGAUAGACAGAGGGGGUGUGCAUAGCAUGGUGGUGGAAAUAAUGAAAUACUUCAGUAUAGUUAACCUACAAGGACUACCCAAGACCCCAGCGCUGCCUACCCUGGCCCCCGCCCUGAGCGCCCAAUAUUCCUGUCAUCUAGUGACUGUAGGGGGCCUCUGGCAAGGGGAGGGGGCUAAGACCGGAGUCAGGGGUCUGAAAGACCCACUCCCAACUGGGCCCUCUGCACCAGUCCUUUAAACUGGUGAUGCCUGGACUAUACUGGUUGUUAAUCUGACUAGCUAAUGCACCAACACUCCAACAGAUCCUGUCCUGUGUGUGUGUGUGUGUGUGUGUGUGUGUGUGUGUGUGUCUAGUCAGGGGCUCCAGGUUCUAGCAUCGUCCUUACUAAUCCCCAUCACUCUUGAGGACCUCCCUUUCUCCCCGCCAUAAACUGCCCCUUCAGUGUUUUUUACCGUCCAUUUCUUGAUUUUUUUCCACAGGAUCUGGAACUCCAGAAGCCCUAGCUUGCCAGAGCCAUCUUUCUGGGGAGGGGGUGGUAGUCAAGGAUGCCAGAAGAAGGAGUGAAGAGGGCAUCUUGGGGCCAGGGAAGCAGAGAGGCUCGCUGAGUGGGAGACAUGAGACCCGGGGAUCUUGUGUGGUCACUAUGGUAACAGCCAGAAAAACUGGCAUCUUUUGCUACCUCAGAGCCUAAUCCCCAGCAGGAAGGAGGGCAUGACUGGCCAGAGCGAUGGUCACCUGGGGGCCAGGCAUGGGGGUAGGGGUGAGGGGCAGGAGAGCACUGGACAAGAAGAUACAUCCAUGAGGUUGACCAUACAGCGGCACACAUCCAGGCCGAAGCCCUGGGUCCUGAAGUUUCUGACUGUGAGGGAGGGAAGGGGCAGGAAGAGAGAAGGAGUGAGUGGGGCAUCGCAGGGGAUGCAGGGAGCGGCCCAGGGGGGGUGCAAGCUGCAGGAGGAGGGUUGUGAGUGGCAGGGUGGGGGGGUGGAAGACUCACAUUUGGUGACCACCUUGUUGAGCAGCUUCUGUAGCUCAUACAUGCCUAUCUCCUUGUCCUAGGAAGGGCGACCAUAAAUCCCAGCUCUGGCACGUUCCCCCCAUCCACCUGCUUUGGGUGCCCAGCCCUCGGCCUCGGACCUCUCCUCCUGCCACUAUCCCAAACAAAUGUAUGAAGUCCUGGUCUACGUCAUUCUCACAGAACUUCUCCUGGUGGGGAAGGAGUGGGAAAGGGACCCAGUCAAGAAAGUUCCUUCACAUUCCUCAGAUGCUUCCUCUGGUCCCUGGACCCCACAGCCUCCCCUCACCUCCUGGAGUAGCUCAGCACAGUUGGCUUCAUCCAGUUCCCUGCGCAAAAGUGAAGGAAGACCCGUAGCAGGAAGUCGGCAUCUCUGUGUGGCUCAAAGGUGGAGGGAAUGAUGACAUAUUCCCCCGGAGGCAGCCGGAGAUGACUGCUCACCUCCCGCGAAUUAGUGAAGAUCUCUGAGAAGCCAUGGUCCUGAUACUUUAUGAAGAAGUCCUUCUUCAAGCGAGUAUCCUGGAUGUUCUGAAACUAUAUGUGCCUUGGAGGUGGGUACAGGGCUGGCAUGUGAGUAUAGGCAGAGAGAGGGACCCCAAAAGUGAAGCUUACUUGGGCAAGUCUCCGGGGGAGGCAUUACCACAAACUGACCAGUCCUGGAUACCACCCAGCUGGCAGGUAACCAAAGUAUCCCCUGCCCGACUCCCUACUCCUUGAUCUCCUGCCCUGACUCCCAUCCGGGGCCCCAACGCAGUAGAAUCCUAACCCAGUAGCCCUGAGAGCCCUUGGCUGAAUUCUACCCCUUGCCCAUCCACAUGCAGCCAGAGGUGGGGCAGUGCCUGCCCAGAAUCAAGCCCAUGUCUUCUGUACCUCCUUUGGGACCUAGGAAGAGAAGAGAGAGGAAGGCCAAACUCCCAGGAUGGUGAAAGGACUCAGGCCUGUAGAAGUCAGGCAGUGUGUGUGUGUGUGUGUGUGUGUGUGUGUGUGUGCACGCGUGCACAUGUGUGUGUUACAGCGGGACACUGGUGGCGGUGGGGGGCAUAGGUUCUGACAGCCAAAAGUCCUAACGUUAACAUUAAUAAUCCCUCAGUUUUGGACAACAAAGCAUAGUUUACACAAAGUUUUGCCAGGGGGAGGUUUUUAUCCCUGCAGGUUAAGGAUAGGAAACCGAAUCCCAAGAGGUGAGGUAACGUGCCCAAUUUCACACUGCUAAAAAGUGAAAGAGCUAGGAUGAAAGUCGAGGAGAGCGUUUUCCAGAACACGAGCAUUUUCCAUGGAACACUUGUAUCCUGCAGUAGUUAACAGGUGAUUAUUGAAACUGGCCAUUGAACACAAAUAUGUUUGUAAAAAGGUGAGUUAAACCAAGAUAAGUAGGUUGUAAGGGAUCCUGGGUAGCUCAGUCAGUUGAAUGCCCGGCUCCUGAUUUCGGCUGAGGUCACGAUCUCACGGUUCGUGAGUUCGAGCCCCACAUUGGGCUCUGCGCUGGCAGCACGGGGCUUGCUUGGGAUUCUCUAUCUCCUGUCUCUCUCUUUCUCUCUCUCUGUCCCUCCCCUGCUGUCUCUCUCUGUGUCUCAAAAGUAAAUAAAAUAAACAAAAAAGAUUAAGUGGGUUGUUGCCCCGUAGGGAUGACAAAAACCCAUAGCUGAUGCCCUGUAGAGCCCCAGGUGGGAGGUAGAGUAUAUACCUUUCCUGAAGGACCACAGCUAACCUUGGAAAUAUAUAUAUUUUUUAAAUGUCUUGAGUGUUUCUUUAUUCUUUAGACAGACAGAGAGAGAGAGAGAGAGAGAGAGAGAGAGUGUGAACGGGGAAGGGGCAGAGAGAGAAGGAGACACAGAAUCUGAAGCAGGCUCCAGGCUCUGAGCCGUCAGCACAGAGCCCGAUGCAGGGCUCAAACUCAUGAACUACAAGAUCAUGACCUGAGCUCAAUUCAGACGCUUAACCGACCGAGCCACCAGGCACCCCUAACCUUGGAAAUAUCUUCAGGCAUGUCUGGUGUCUGUUAACCUGGUGGGCUCCCAGCCUAGGAGGAGGGCAAGGCUUGUGUCUCUCUCUUUUUUUUUUUUUAAGAUGAAGUAUCUUAUAAUUUUAAAAAUGUUUUUAUUUUUUUUUGAGACAGAGAGAGACAGAGCAUAAGCAGGAGAGGGACACACAGAAUCCAAGGAGGCUCCAGGCUCUGAGCUGUCAGCACAGAGCCCAAUGCGGGGCUCGAACUCAUGAACUGUGAGAUCAUGACCUGAGCCGAAGUCAGAUGCCCAACCGACUGAGCCACCCAGGCGCCCCUUGUGUCUCUUUUUGUUCACUAUUGGACCAGUGGAGAUUGGACUGGUGGCUGGCAUACAGUAGGUGCUCCGUAACUAUUCGAACAAAUUGUCAUUUAUAGGAUUUCGCAAAGCACAAUUUCAGAAAUGUGGUCAGGGAUAUCUCUUGGCUGCUGGAGUCAACGCUCUGGGUGGUGUGUCUGGGCGGGUGUGUGUGUGUGGGGGGACACCUGGGGACACUGUGAAGUCUCAGAACACCUGGGAAUCAGGACAUAAUCUGCUUCUGAGCCUUGGGUGUGUGAGCUUGGGCAAGUAACCUCACCUCCCUGGCGCUCUGUCUCCUCCCUCUUCUUGGAAGGCGUUACUAUUCAUUAAGGCCUCUGGCAGGGUCUUGAAGGGGGUGAGGCCAGGAGAGGGAGCAAGAGUGGCUGGGGGAGGUGGUGGAGCACCCACCGAGUAGAUGACAAAUCCAAUGGUCUGCAGCUGGGCUCCGAGGGGCCGUGCCCGUCGCCAGUUCUUCUGCAUCAGGGCCACCAGGCAGGUGCAGACAACUUCGUCGUCCUCUGGGUCGUCAUCCCCCUCCGGGAGAGAGAUCCUGAACUGGGGGUUGGUCCAGAAUGUGUCUGUGGAAGAAGCAGGUCAGCAUGGCUCUGCCCUUCCCAGGGUGGACCGGCUUCCUGGCCACACACCUGCCUCCUCGGCGGGGCCUCGUGGGAUCUGCCGGUCCCCUGACCCCUUCGCGGACCCCGAAUCCCCUCACCCACCGGGGUGGUUCCUGCAGCCCCCCGCAGUGCUGCCCCGCCGCCAGCUGCCCUCGCAGAAGGUGGUGUGCCAACAGCCCCUGUCGUCCCAAGAGAGCGUGUCAGGCGUCAGGUUGCAGAUCUCCAGGAGCGUGAAGUUGUCCAGGAAGUCUUGGUAGGACAUCCUGUGGUGGAGGGCACGACGGCUAGAGCCUGUGGCACCGUCACACCCGGAGGCUCCCCCUCAGAGCCUCCCCAUCAAAGGCAAGGGUGGGAGGGCGGCAGAGGAGAUGAAGGGACGGGCGUGGGGGCAGAAGGAAGCCCACCCAAGCUGCACUGACCAGAACUCCCCAUCCUCCCUCUUCUGAAGCAGCUGUUUCUGGGUUUCUGGGGCCACUUUGUCCCACUCGCUGGCACUGGAUCAGAGACAGGAGGUGGAAAGAGAAGGGCAGGGCUCAGAAGGUAUUUUGUUCCUCCCCAAGGGAUUCCCUCCCCACUGAACUCCGGCCGCUGGGGGUCCUGAGUUAGAGGGAAAGACACUAGUGGGGAGGGGCUGGUCCUGGGACGCCAGCGGGUCCAUCUGUGACACUGCCUGGCUGGUGGGCCAGCCGUGCGCUCUGCUCCUCACCUGACAGUGCUGCUCAGGGGCACCUACUUGUCACUCCAGGCUCCAUUCCACUCGAUCCGGCCCCAGGGAUUCCGGACCCGAAUCAGGGUUUCCGUCCUGCCUCUGUAGAAGACCUGGCGGCGGAAAGGGUGUGGUGGCAGGGGUGUGGCUGAAGGUCCUGGGGCAGGAGGGACUGUCCUCCUUGUUCUGUGUCUCCAGGUAGGGUGCCCUUGGCAGACUCACAUCAUGGAGGCCGGUCACGGAGUAGGCGUGCCCUUUCACUAGCAUCCUCUGGGUCAUGGCCUCCAACUCACUGUCGCUGGUGACCUACAGAACAGAGGAAAGAAAGGAAUUCAGGAUCCGGUCAGAUGCACCAGGGCACCCGAAGAGAUGUGAGCACUCUUGGGGUCCAGGGUUUUUUUUUUUAAGUUUAUUUAUUUUGAGAGAGAGAGAGAGAGACAGAGAGAGAGGCAGGCAGAGGGAAGGAGAGAGAGAAUCCCAAGCAGACUCCUUGCUGUCAGUGCAAAGCCGGACUCAAAACUCCAUCCCAUGAACCGUGAGAUCACGACCUGAGCCAAAAUCCAGAGACAGACGCUUAACCGACUGAGCCACCUAGGUGCCCCCUGGAUGGCGCAGUCGGUUAAGCGUCCAACUUCGGCUCAGGUCAUGAUCUUGCGGUUCCUGAGUGCGAGCCCCGCGUCGGGCUCUGUGCUGACAGCUCAGAGCCUGGAGCCUGCUUCCGAUUCUGUGUCUCUCUCUCUCUGCCCCUCCCUUGCUUGCACUCUGUUUCUGUCUCUCAAAUAUAAAUAAACAUUUAAAAAAUCUGUCAUUUCAAGCCUGCCAUGUGAAUGGAUUCGUACAGUAUGGAACUCUCUUGGUUUUCCCCACGCAGCAUAAUUCCCUUGGGAUUCACCCAAGUAGUUGCAUGUAUUGGUAGUUCAUUUCCUCUUAUCGCCGAGUUAUAUCCCAUGGCCUCUGGGCACCGCAGUUUAACUAUUCACUCCGUGAAGGACGUCUAGACUGUUCCCAGUUUCUGGCUACUAUGAACAAAGCCGCUAUGAACAUUUGUGUGCCGGCUUUCAUGUGCUUGUAAGUCUUCGUUUCUCGGGGUUACAUGCCCAGGGUGCAAAGGCAGGGUCGUACGGUUCCACCCUGGGCUCAUUUAUUUCUUUGAAUAAAUAUUUGCUGGGUGUCUCUUGCAUAUGCCAGGCAGCAUCCUAAGUCCCAGGAUCCGGCAGUGAAUGAGACAGGUCACUGCCCCCAUGGAAUACGAAACUGUCGGGAGAAGAUAGGCUGGGAACAACUAUAUUGAUAAGUAAGACCAUUUCAGAUCACAAUACAUGCUAGGGGGAGAAUAAAAACAAAGUAGAAAGCAAAGGGAGGUAGGAGCAGCUGGUUUAGAGUGGGAGGUAGGGAAGAGAGGCCUGAGGAAGGGGCAUUUGAACUGAAAUGUGAAUGAGAAGGGGCUAGUCGCGCAGCUACCUGGGGGAAAGAACCAUCUGGGUGAAAGCAACCGCAGGUACAAAGGCCCUGAGGCAGGACCCAGUAUGGCUUACUUCGAUGCAGCAGCCCAUGAGGGAGGACCGCUCUAUGGCCUUCCUAAGAAUCCUCAGCAGGUUCCGAGGGGGCUUCUGGAGUUGGAGGCUAUAGGUCACGCCCCCUGUGAAGUCUUCAAAGCCCUCUACUGUGUUGCCCCCCGACAGAGCUUCAUAGGACCCAUUCAGCCUGUGGGCACAGAGAGGGCACUUUUAUGCUCUGGGUUAGAGAUGCCAGCUUGGACACGAGUGGGUGUGGUGAGGGCAGGAAGGGAUGCCCUGACCUCCAUCUGCCUUUUCCCCUGAGUCAGCUGCCCCCAUAGCUGCCAGUUGUCGGGCAGGCUUGGAGGCAAGCCCAGGCUUGGGGCACUCACUUGGCAUAUGCCUUCUCCAGCAGGGCACUCCAGAACUCAGCGCGCUCAGCCGAGUGCACGAACACCAGCUUGCCAUUCUUUGUGGGCAGCCGGUCAUCCACCACCACGUCCAUCCAUUGUCCAAACUGCCAAAUCUG